GCAUGCAUAUGGGGAAGCAUUUUCAUCGUGGAUGCAUAUCGUGUAUGGCAUUAGAAAAGGAGGGACUUGCGCGCCCGCCUCCGCCGCCGCCACCGGCCCCUUACCACCGCCCCCACGCGCCGCAGGUUCGUAGGCGCUUUCUCGUAGGGCAGUAAACAUUCGGGGUUGUCUGGUUGUAUGUAUAUGCUUGGUUAACUGAUCGAGGUGGCGUGCGUGCGUGGCUGUUUGCAGGUCUCGGCACCGGGAGGGACGGCUCCGGUGGUGUACGGCGGCGGGAGCAAUGGUGGUGGCGUGCCGUCGCCGUGGCAGGUGAGCGGACGCGACCUCUGUCGCUGCUCCUCCCUUCUUUCAAUCCCUACCUUUUUUUGUUUUUUUCCCCUUGUUGGCUUGUGAGUUCGAUCUGUGCACCCUUUUUUGACGCAGAUUGCUUCCUGCAGUGCAAGCAGGCGAUGGCCACCGAGGUCACGUUCGUGCUGCCGUCCGCCGCGCCCAAGGCCGUGUCGUCAUCGCCUGGUGGCGCCGCCGGCGACGAGACCGGAGGGUAACUAAGAGCUGCAUGUCUACAUCCCUGCUCUGUUUAUUUCUUUUGGCUAUUAACUGUACUAGUAAUAUCUAUCUAUAAGUAUUGAUCAGGGCCUGCUCUGGGUGAUGCUGCUCCCACGCUUGGGCUCUGAAUUAGAGCUCUUUUAUGGUACCCACUCAAUCCAUUAGUCAAGUACAUCGACGCUGGUAGAGUUCCAGCGGCCACUGCCGAGCCUCCUUCUCAAUUAGGUCCGACAACCAUGAUGCAUUGCGGACGUCAAGGUGAUAUCCACCGGCGACGCUUGCUGGCGGGGGCUCGCCACCGGCAUCCACAAGCUCGCUGAUGCCGUCUCGGUCACUCUCGUUCCAAAGGUGUGUGUUUUUUUUGCUUGCUUCCUUCUGGGUCAGAAAAUUGCUUGUUUUCUCACUAUCGUAACUGCUGUCUUGCAACUGUAAAGUUCUUGCGAAUUUGAUAGUGAAAUUCAAUGUUAUGUGAAUUCUAAAUCUUCCAAUGAAUAGUUUUAGUCUCAUAUACAGUGUACUAGUGGAUAUUGCAAAUGGACUUGACACACUGUUACUUCAGAUAUAGGAUCGCCAAAUGAUGCCCUCUGCGUGCUUGCUCUUCCUUGUUAAAUCUGUUACCAUUUGUUCAUUGAUAUAGAUGCUGCUCAUGUUGUUGGGAUCACAUAUGCCUGAACAAUUUGUUUUAUUGUCUUGUAGUGCUAUUGAUUGCUGAGAACAUAAAGGUUUGCUGCAGGGAGGAAUGUUGUUAUUGAUGAAGAUGAUGUUCGUAAAGUAAUUAACACAAUUAAGCUUGUAAUGUACCCCCGCAAAGUGUGCCUUUAUUUUCUUUAAUAUUUUGAUGGAAUCUAAGUUUGAUCCAGAAAGUUCUGAUUUUUUUGCCAAUAUAUUGGAUGGGGUUGAUGGUACAUGACCUAGCCCUGAUAGAAGAGCACAUCUAUUUGAUGUAGAACUCAGGCAGAGCAUUAGUUCUUUUCUUUCAGUUGAUCAAUUAGCCGUGACAGGAUCUUAUCUUUCCCAUGGUCUCACGCAUUUACGCUGCCCACUGUCUUUGUACUGUUUCCAGGAGGCCUCUAGAUUCAGGAAUCUCAUGCCCACUGUUAAGAGUGGCUCACCGCUGCAUCUUAACAAGGAAUGACUCCUACAUCGUGGCAGGGAUGUUUUUAGUAAUGUUGUCAACUAAUUGUUGCUAGAAUGUAACACGUACGACUGAUAUCAAGUUUCUAAUGAAUGAAAUCUUUAAUUUCUAAGAAUGAGGUGGCUAUUUCUUUCUCUGCGAUAUAUUGAGAAGCUUCUUCCCAAUUGGUAAUUUGUAUUUUGUCCUUAAAGUUUCAGCACAUAUGGCUUCUGUGCCUAUAAGAUUAUUUUAGGGAUUUAUUCCCAAUAUUUUGUGUUUGCAAGUUCUAUGGUCACCUAGCACCGAAUUAUUAUUUCCCCGUGAACUCAUUAAAUUCUGCUCUUUGGUAACCAACACAUAUAUGUGUAACUUUAUGAAAAUUGAAGUCCCAUGUUUUAUGUGUACUGGCAACAACCAUUCUAUUACAAAAAUAGAUGAGCGCGACAACGCGCGCCUUCCAUGAUCUAGUACUGAUAAUUAUUGACUACAGUUAAGGUGUUGGGGGUCAGUCCCCGAGUCUGGUAUAUGCAUUUUUUAUUUAUGCAGUUGUCCAUCUAAAAUGUUUGAAAGUGUAGCUCUCUUGUGAUAUCAGCUGAUGCCAGUGACAUUUGCCAUUACAGAAGAUGAUCAGACUGCUUGGCAGCUUGACGGUCGAAAAGAAAAACUCUGUUCAGGUAUAUAUAUUCGGUAGUAACAUAUAUUGCAGUAUAUAUUUUUACAUCUGUGUUAUUGUCAAAGAGAAUUAGUCAUCUAUUGUGUUGUCAUGAAUAGGAUGACACUGGAUCAAAUAUUCAUUAUCUUGCACCUAUUCUUUAAUUUUGCAGUUAAGUUUGAUGCUUCCUGGCUGUCUAUUGUGUUAUUGCUGUAGAGUCUCUUUCCAUCAUGGAAAGCAUGCUAUGGUUGAGCAAAGCAUGCAAUGAUGCCAACAUCCAAAUGGAUGAAGAUGUAGGAUCUGGAUUUUACAUUAUUGUUGGUAGUCGUGAGCUGUUCUAAAAAUAUGUUUUGACUUCUGCUUGUCUCUUUCUGCUGGGUGUGCAAUGCCUAAUCUUUAAUGCAAAUAUUUGUGUCCAUUAUUUUUAAUGCCUAAUUUUAAUGCAAAUAUCUGUUCUAAAAGUAUGUUUUGACUUCUGCUUGUCUCUUUCAAGGUUUUUAUGUCAAUUACAGUAGUAGUAUGUUUUUUUUUGCAUCGAUUACAGUAGUAGUACGAACUAAAACAAAUAGAUGUAUUGUAACUGUUAUGCAGUUUUUGUGCCUUGUUUCUAUUCUUGAUCUGUAUCUUGUAGCUCUUAAAAAUAUGGUUGUUUCUUCUACAGGACCUCUAGGCCUAAGAAAGUUGAAGUGCGAAGCCUUGAAGCCAAUUGUGUGAAGCUCUACUUAUCCAAGAAUGCAUAUUAUAUAUUGUAAUAAUAGGCAUAUCUGCUUUAUAACAGAUUGGAAAAAUUGUAAUAU
rnacentral:lncRNA from 1 species